GUUUUAUAUUGGGCGAGUAUUUACUUUUGGCUUCCAUUAAAAGAUGUGUAAAUUGAAGCAUUUCAGGACUGUCAAUAGUCAAAUUCUCUUGUUUAGAAUAACUGGAACAUAUUAUCAUUUUAGAGAGAUUGGUCAUUUUAUGACUACUUCAAACAGUCAUUUAUAAAACUUACAUCCAAGAACUAUUUGUUUGCGUAAAUCUUGAAACUCCUGUUUGUGCAGUUAGAACAUCAAUGUGUAUAUGCACUGGGUUGAUAGAAUCUUUUUCAAGUCUAUGUAAUUUAGCAAUAGCUAAACCACCAGGAUAGUUAGAACCAGCGACACAUAAAAGAAACAUAGAAAAUAGA